AGAGAAUUAUAUAUAGAGAUUAUUACAUCAAUUAUAAUUUUUUUUUUUUUACUCUUUUAGCCACAACUUUGACGGAACUACAUGAACGUUACCAUGGAAUGGAAUUCCUUGAUAUGAUCGUUCCAACUUCGACGGAAAAUCCAAACUCUGGGUCGAGCUUACUUUUUAAAAGCAAUGCAUUAGUCAAAGCUUUAUAUUUGGGAUGUGUACUUUUUUUUUACAUUAACUUACUUCUAAAGUCCCUUUAAUAAAUACAGUUUCUGUUAGGAAAAUUAUAGCUUGCUUGAAAUAAACUGUCUGGCCUAAUA
rnacentral:sRNA from 1 species